CCCCUUCUAACUCAAUACAUCUCUUAAAUUCAUCCCAGAAAAAUAACCUGUUUUCCAAGUGACGUUAGAUUCAGCAGCACCACCCCUACCCUAUUGCCCCUGGGACUGAUGAUCUCCAGGCAGAUGCUUCGCACCAGUGGCUGCUCCUGCCAGUAAAAAAAAAAAAAAAAAGAAGUUUCCAUUGAUUUGCUUGAGAAAUGAAGCUGAACCCCAUCCUAACUGAUGUAAAAGAGACAGGCCAAGGCUGUCUUUGGAACGGAAAAAGAACAAGAUUUUCAGAUUUUCACAUGAUUUUCAUAACAGAAGCUUUGGAUGAGGGGCACUGGAUAGCUGGGGAAGACGCAAGAGGGAGAAUUGCUUUACAACCCUUUGGCUAUUGUCACUCCAGUUCCUAGCUUAAAACUGUACGGGACAUUUCCAGUAUAGAGCCUGCUGAGAAUGAACAUGAAAUCAAGGACAUUACCUGAUGAUGGAUUAUGUAGAUGGCGAAGGUGUGGUGGCACGGAGACCUCUUGGUGACCAGGCCGGACACUGAGCAAUCUGUCCAGCAGCUUAUC
rnacentral:lncRNA from 10 species